rnacentral:rRNA from 1 species
UACGUAGGGUGCGAGCGUUAAUCGGAAUUACUGGGCGUAAAGUGUGCGCAGGCGGCUUCGCAAGUCGAGUGUGAAAUCCCCGAGCUUAACUUGGGAAUUGCGCUCGAAACUACGUGGCUGGAGUGUGGCAGAGGAAGGUGGAAUUCCACGUGUAGCGGUGAAAUGCGUAGAGAUGUGGAGGAACACCAAUGGCGAAGGCAGCCUUCUGGGCCAACACUGACGCUCAUGCACGAAAGCGUGGGGAGCAAACAGG